UGUAUUUUCAAAUUCAAUUGAAAUUGUGUCCUCAGUUUUUGUCAACACCGUCAGACAUAGAAAGAAUGUGAAAAAAAUCAGGCAUUAUUGAAGGGCACCAGAAAUUCUGAGGACCCCAUGACCACUUCCUUUCUCUUCCUGUGCUUGGGGGGAUAAGCAGCUCUGGUAAGCUUAUAUUAUUCUUUUGUUUUUUCUUCUUUUUUAUUCCUAAGUUGUUUGUCACAACCAUAAAGUGUCAACACCAUAAGUAACAUUUUUCAAAAUUUUGAUGAAAUUUUGUUAAAUAAAUGCUUAAUUUUAGUAUAUUUUAAGGAUUUAAAAGAACUGAUGAGCUACAAUAUGGCCUCCUUCAGAAUAUCAUCAUAUAAAUGAAGUUAGCAUGGCGUUUUGUCAACUCCGUCAGAUGUCAACUCCAUCAGAUUUUUUAACUGACGGUGUUGACUCUCUUAGUGAUGGUGUUGACAAAUGUCACUUAAGUGUGCAGUUAAUUCAUUUUACUGUAUUUUACAUAAUUGACAGCACUUCACAUUCAUCAUGUAUUUCUUUUUAAAAAUGUUUCUGAUUAUUUUCAGCAACUUGUAAAGUUUAAUGGUUUAAAUUUAAUACAAUUUUAUUAGUCCUUUAAAAUUAAUAAGAUGUAGUUUAUUUUGUAAGGGAAGGGUAUGUUUAUCCCAUGACAAGCAGUGUACUGAUGAUAAUUGCCUAUAUUUCAGGCUACAAUGGCCAGAGAAAAGCUGUCAGUGGAGGAGCGCAAGAGAAGGAACAGGGAGUAUCAGAAAAGAAGGAGAGAAAAAAUAAAUAGCCAGCCUGAGCUGAAGGAAGAGUUUUUAAGAAAGGAAAGGAAAAGAUGCAGACAGAGAGUGGAAGAGGGAAAAAUAAAACAUAUCAAUAAUCUGGGUGAAAGAGAUAAGAGACGUAAGAGAAGACUUUGGAAGCAAAAACAAAAGGAGGCAAGAGAACGCAGAAACAGAGCAAAGGAAGGCCAGAAAAGUAUGGCAAAUUAUUCUUUGACAAGGUGUCCAACAGCUUAAGUGGUGUCAAGCUGCAAUUUGUGACAAAUGAAGAUUUUUCAGUCUUAUGACUCUCUCCUCCUGCAAACCCUGAAAUCAAUUCCAGGAACAAGAAACAUUCACCAAGUGCUAGCUCAGGGGAAUGUCAUCCAUUGUAGGUUCCUUUCAUGUUUUUGCGGAGAGCCACAGAUUUGCAAGUGCUUCAGUCCCACCAUUCACUCUUUUGGCAACACAACACAGGACCCAGAUGUCCAUGAAAGUUCAACCACUGCUAAAGUUCAAAAUCCUCUGGAAAUGCUGAUGGAGGAAAUGGAGAAGGAGCCGAGCAAGACACCUAAAGGAACAACAACCCUGAUAGAUCCUUGUGAUGUCCAAAGUGAAGACUGGCUUGUUGUGAUGUAUGAUGGAAAAUGGUGGCUGGCUAAAGCCUUACAAAUUGACAAAGAGCACGAAGAUGUACAAGUGGAAUUUUUUCAUCCUCAUGGACCAACUCUUAGCUUCAAGCAAAAACAAGGUCGUCGGGAUAUCUGCUUUGUGCCAUUUUCGGAUGUCCUAGUUAGGCUGAGAAAACCAUCCUCACCAGUCCGCACAAGCAGCACCAGGGGUGUAUACCGCAUUUCACCAGCUGUUAUGGAUUUUAUUGAAGGAGAAUAUGUGACACGUCUAUUGCCUGGGGAUUAAAUAUUCUGACUUUUAAGCGAUUUAGAAAGAUAUGAAUUAGUUCACAAUAUAUUUCAAAAAGUUCUGUCGUGUAUAUUUUUGUUUGUAUUCAUCUUUUACAUUUUGAUUGAAAAUCGUCCUGGUUGAUGACUUCAGUGACAAAGGUACAUUCUCAAAAAUUUAGAUGUUCCUUGAAAUCUAAAUAUGGUUAUUUCACAUUUUUUCUUCAUAUCUUCACAUUCUACAACAUUUCAGCAUUUAAUUCUUCUUAAAUGUCAUUUCAAGUUCAGUGUUUUCUUUUUACUUACUAGUUUGUCACCACCAUCAGUUUUGUGUCAACACCGUCAUGUGCCGUCAACUCUGUCAGAUGUAGUUUAUGUUGCAUUUUGUUUAAAAUAAUAUUUAUUUUGUUUCUUGAUAGGCAUUUGUUUGUGAAAUGUCUGAAUUCAUGUAUUUGGUGCAUAUGUGUUUUUUACUAAUAAAUGACACUGUUCAUUGUGGUGAUUACUUUCAAAAUUGUUUUUUGUAUCAAUUGAACUGGAGUAAUUAAAUACAGACUAAAUAAAUGUUUAAA